rnacentral:rRNA from 1 species
AGAGUUUGAUCUGGCUCAGGAUUAACGCUGGCGGCGUGCCUAACACAUGCAAGUCGAACGAGGUAGCAAUACCUAGUGGCAGACGGGUGAGUAACACGUGGUCAACCUACCCUCUUGUGGGGGAUAACUAGCCGAAAGGUUAGCUAAUACCGCAUAACACAUCGAGCGGCAUCGCUUGGUGUUGAAAGAAGUAAUUCGCUUGAGGACGGGACCGCGCCCGAUUAGUUAGUUGGUGGGGUAAUGGCCUACUAAGACUCCGAUCGGUAGCUGGUUUGAGAGAGCGACCAGCCACACUGGGACUGAGAGACGGCCCAGACUCCUACGGGGGGCAGCAGUGAGGAAUUUUCCGCAAUGGGCGCAAGCCUGACGGAGCGACGCCGCGUGUGGGAAGAAGGCCUUCGGGUCGUAAACCACUGUCGAAGGGGAAGAUAUUGACGGUACCCUUGGAGGAAGCCCCGGCUAACUACGUGCCAGCAGCCGCGGUAAGACGUAGGGGGCAAGCGUUAUUCGGAAUUAUUGGGCGUAAAGCGCUCGCAGGCGGGAUCGAAAGUCCGCGUUGAAAGACCUCGGCUCAACUGAGGGACCGGCGUGGAUACUUCGAUUCUUGAGGCAAUCAGAGGGUGAUGGAAUUCCCGGUGUAGCGGUGAAAUGCGUAGAUAUCGGGAGGAACACCAGUGGCGAAGGCGAUCACCUGGGGUUGUACUGACGCUCAUGAGCGAAAGCUAGGGGAGCAAACGGGAUUAGAUACCCCGGUAGUCCUAGCCGUAAACGAUGGACACUAGUGUAUGUGGUAUCGACUCCAUAUGUGCCGUAGUUACACAGUAAGUGUCCCGCCUGGGGAGUACGGCGCAAGGUUAAAACUCAAAGGAAUUGACGGGGCCCGCACAGCGGUGGAGCAUGUGGUUUAUUCGACGCAAC